rnacentral:rRNA from 1 species
AUUGAACGCUGGCGGCAGGCCUAACACAUGCAAGUCGAACGAGUGGCGGACGGGUGAGUAAUGUCUGGGAAACUGCCUGAUGGAGGGGGAUAACUACUGGAAACGGUAGCUAAUACCGCAUACCAUCAGAUGUGCCCAUAUGGGAUUAGCUAGUUGGUGGGGUAAAGGCUCACCAAGGCGACGAUCCCUAGCUGGUCUGAGAGGAUGACCAGCCACACUGGAACUGAGAAACGGUCCAGACUCCUACGGGAGGCAGCAGUGGGGAAUAUUGAACAAUGGGCGCAAGCCUGAUGCAGCCAUGCCGCGUGUAUGAAGAAGGCUUUCGGGUUGUAAAGUACUUUCAGCGGGGAGGCGGUACCCGAAGAAGAAGCAACGGCUAACUCCGUGCCAGCAGCCGCGGUAAUAC